rnacentral:rRNA from 1 species
CCUACGGGGGGCAGCAGUGGGGAAUAUUGGGCAAUGGGCGAAAGCCUGACCCAGCAACGCCGCGUGAGGGAAGAAGGCCUUUGGGUUGUAAACCUCUGUCCUAUGGGAAGAAGAAAAUGACUGUACCAUAGGAGGAAGCUCCGGCUAACUACGUGCCAGCAGCCGCGGUAAUACGUAGGGAGCAAGCGUUGUCCGGAAUUACUGGGCGUAAAGGGUGCGUAGGCGGCUUAUUAAGUUAUUAGUGAAAUACCCGGGCUUAACCUGGGGGGUGCUAGUAAAACUGAUAGGCUUGAGUUCGGGAGAGGAAAGUGGAAUUCCUAGUGUAGCGGUGGAAUGCGUAGAUAUUAGGAGGAACACCAGUGGCGAAGGCGACUUUCUGGACCGACACUGACGCUGAGGCACGAAAGCGUGGGGAGCAAACAGGAUUAGAUACCCCUGUAGUC